AGGCAGGAGGGCAGCAGACACAGACCAAAGACUUUCCAAGCCUCAUAUUUGGAUGGAGGAAGUAAGGUCUCCCAGGAUGGGCAAAGGCAAUCUAUGAGCUGAGGGCAGCAAGAGAACCAGGAACAAGAAAUCUUUUAUCCCUGCCUGAUCCACCAGGUUGCCAAACUACUUCCACAGACUACAAAUAUUUGCAUCUAGACUUGUCUGCAAAAAUGGAAGUUGCCUGUGAAAAGCUACAUCACAACGUCUAACACCGGCAUUUUCAUCCGGACUCUUCAGAUUGACAAAGAAAAUGCAAAUAUUUGCUGCAUCAGAAAGGCUCCCUGGUGCACAGCAGGGCUGGCUGCACAGCCAGGACAGAGCUGCUGCCCUCCCCUCGCUCAAGGCAUGACCCAAACACAGCCCCAGGAGAGCCAUGGUGCAAGGUUUUGUCAUCCUCCUCUUUCCAAG
rnacentral:lncRNA from 12 species